CAACCUUGGGCAAUUAUUAAAGAAAGGAUUAACUACACUUCAAUCCUUAGAAGUUUAGGAUCAGUAUCGAAAUGGGCUCCAAAAUUUCAAUUUCAUCAAUUUUAUACCCAAUGUAUUUAAAUAUGACCAAUUCAUCCCAUCCGUUAAAUUGACCGUCUAGUCAAAUGUUAAAUGUUGAUGUGUCCACUAUAGGACUCACCUACUAUUCAAUUCGCAAAAUAUAUAUAUAUAUAUAUAUAUAAAAUAUCAUAAAAUUUAAAAAUAAAAAAAGCUUGAAAAACCCAACUCCUCAACCCCCGCCAAUUCCCCACCGCUUCUCGCACUAACCCCAGCCCCCUCCCUCUUUCUCUGCACAACCACAAGCCAUGAAAAAACUAGAAAUAUACCAAUGACAGUCUCAAGCCAGCUCCUUUCUUCACUGGUGGAACAAAUCCCCCUCAAUUCAGCACACGUUCUCAAGUUUUAGUUCCAUGUAGAUGAUUCCCAGCAUGUGGAGGUAUUCCAAACCACCAGAACUUCUGUAGCAUAAAACAUGGAAAUAGAGGUCCUAGUUAAAUUUGAUUGUAUUCUUUUUUUGAAAAUAAAAAAUUAAAUAAAAGGAAAAUUAUGCAAUUCAAUAUCUGAGAAAAAUGGAGGAAUAUUCAAAAUUUUCGAUCUUGGCUCUGUAAGCCUUCUGAUUCAACGCUAGAGCCUUUCUUGUCUAUGAAUUUCAGGGCCUAAAAGCACAAGGAAGACGAACGCCUGCAAUCCUAAUGGGCGGGACUGGAACCAGUGCAAGAAGGGGUUGUGAUGGGGCCGUUGGGUUGUUAGGUAGGGAAGAGGCUGGGUUUUUUUUAAGGUUCUUCUCGCAAUCCCGAUGAGUAGAACUGGAACCGAUGCCUCUAAGGGUGCAGAGAUAGAUGGUGUCGAUGUCGCCGGCGCUGAUGCGGAGGAGGAAUGGGGCUAGGGUUUGAGUGAGAAGGGGUGGGGGUGGUGAAGGCGUUGGGUCAUACCUGACCCACUCUUUAUUUCUCUAUUUCUCUUCCUCCCUCUCCCCCUCUCUUCGUCAUCCCCUUCCUCCUCCCUCUAUUUCUCUCCUUUUGCGGAUCAGUUUGAUUGGAUUGGACAAAUUAGGUUUUUUAGGUUCGGGUAAUUACAGAUUUGGAGCAACAACUUAUAAGGCUAGUGAGUUAUUUGGUUUUGAUUGUGAGGUCAAUCUUGUCUUGGAUGUUUGAUCGUGUUUUGGGUUGGAGAGGACCUGAGAUUGAUUGGGGGAAAGGGGGUCUGUGGAGGUCGAUGAAGGGUGGAUGUGAGAUGGAAAGAGAGGGUUGCUAGGGCGGGGAAAUUUUG
rnacentral:lncRNA from 1 species